rnacentral:rRNA from 1 species
GACGAAGGGGGCUAGCGUUGCUCGGAAUCACUGGGCGUAAAGGGUGCGUAGGCGGGUUUUUAAGUCAGAGGUGAAAUCCUGGAGCUCAACUCCAGAACUGCCUUUGAUACUGAAAGUCUUGAGUAUGGGAGAGGUGAGUGGAACUGCGAGUGUAGAGGUGAAAUUCGUAGAUAUUCGCAAGAACACCAGUGGCGAAGGCGGCUCACUGGCCCAUAACUGACGCUGAGGCACGAAAGCGUGGGGAGCAAACAGG